rnacentral:rRNA from 1 species
CCACGGGGGCUGCAGUGGGGAAUAUUGGACAAUGGGCGAAAGCCUGAUCCAGCCAUGCCGCGUGUGUGAAGAAGGCCUUCGGGUUGUAAAGCACUUUCAGUGGGGAAGAAAGCCUUGGGGCUAAUACCCUCGAGGAAGGACAUCACCCACAGAAGAAGCACCGGCUAACUCCGUGCCAGCAGCCGCGGUAAUACGGAGGGUGCGAGCGUUAAUCGGAAUUACUGGGCGUAAAGCGCGCGUAGGCGGUCUGAUAAGCCGGUUGUGAAAGCCCCGGGCUCAACCUGGGAACGGCAUCCGGAACUGUCAGGCUAGAGUGCAGGAGAGGAAGGUAGAAUUCCCGGUGUAGCGGUGAAAUGCGUAGAGAUCGGGAGGAAUACCAGUGGCGAAGGCGGCCUUCUGGACUGACACUGACGCUGAGGUGCGAAAGCGUGGGUAGCAAACAGGAUUAGAUACCCCGGUAGUC